UAUGCAGAGGCACCACCUGUGCUCGGUCUCGGACAGCUUCUGUUCACACUGGUGUUGCCUCCAUCCCUGAGAAAGCUGCCUUGCUGCCAGCUGCCAGUCAUGAGAAUCCUUUUCUUCCUCGUUGCUGUUCUCUUCUUCCUCUUCCAGGCUGCUCCAGCUCACAGCCAGGAAACCGCUGACACCCUCGCAUGCCGGCAGAGCCGGGGCUCCUGCUCCUUCGUGCCCUGCUCUGCUCCUCUGGUUGACAUCGGGACCUGCCGCGGUGGGAAGCUAAGAUGCUGCAAAUGGACCCCCAGCUCCUAAACCUGACACCUCACUGACCACUCAGACAAGAGCUCUGGACAUCUGAGACAUCCCCCAUCUUUUGACAUCGAUGGAUCCUGUCUGGGGUGCCCUGGGGAGCCUUUCCCAUGUGGGUGGAGGCCCUCAGGAGCACAGGAACAUCUGAGGAGGAGUUCUUGUCCAAUAAAGAUAUUUGCAGUUUCAAUUCUAAUAAAAGCAAGUUCUUGUGAAACCA